UACGUAGGGGGCAAGCGUUGUCCGGAUUUACUGGGCGUAAAGAGCGCGUAGGCGGAAGCUUAAGUGUGGCCUGAAAGCCCCCGGCUCAACCGGGGAGGGUGGCUGCAAACUGGGCUUCUUGAGGGGGAUAGAGGAAAGUGGAAUUCCGGGUGUAGCGGUGAAAUGCGUAGAGAUCCGGAGGAACACCAGUGGCGAAGGCGGCUUUCUGGGUCCGCCCUGACGCUGAGGCGCGAAAGCGUGGGGAGCAAACAGG
rnacentral:rRNA from 1 species